UUUUUAGGGUUUCACCUAAAGCCGUCAUUCACCUCUUUUUCUCUCAUCAGUCCCUUACUCUUUCUAUCUCCUCUCCUCUCCUCUCCUCCCCCUCAUUCACCUCUUUAUCUCAUUUCAAACUCAGGCCCUCUCUCCUCUUCUUGAAUUGAUUUUUGGGCAUUUUAGAUCGUGAGGUAAGAAGUUCUUCAAUUGUUUUUCCCUCUUCUUGAAUUUAUUUCUAGGCAUCUAAUUGUUUAAAUUAUUGAAUUUGUUCUUGUGAAUUCUAAUUUUCUUUAUUUUUUUCUACACGAAAUUUGUAUUUGAUUCAUUUUUGGCGUUUAUAUGGUUUGAUUAUCCUUUGUACAUCUAAACGAAUAAUAAAUCUAAAAAAAAUAUGUUCUUCAAUUGAAACUUGUAAUACAUGCAAUCAGUAAUGAAUUUAGUUCAUCUUUGUCGAUUAAUACCUGAUUGCCGAAUUUUUUUGUAAUUUUUUUUGUUUAUAGAGAGAAUGAAGAAUCCUGAUAUGGCAUGUUGAUUAAUUCUAGGGUUCUUCGAGUUCUUUACCGAAAUCGAUCAAUUUAUCCCCAAUUCGUUAAUUUUUAUUGGUAAUUUAUGGGUUGUUGUUGUAUAAUCUUUGUUAAUCUGUUUGUUGAAGUGAGAAAUUGGGUAUUGGUUAUUGAUUCUCUAUGCAAGGUUCUUUCUUUCUGCAUUCUUUGAUGUUUUAAUCUGCAAUUGGUGAAUGUUGGUGAUUUUUAGUUGAUGUUUUCUACCUGAUAAGGUUGCAUGCGCUCAGAAAUUUUUGUAUAUUGCAAUGGCCUCUUCAUGUUAGGUUUUGUUUUACGCAACCUCUGCAAUGCUGGAUUUCUUACUAAUUUCGAAGUACUCGAUUUAUUACAUACGAGAGGGGCUGCCAAGGAUUCUACACGGGCCAUGGGUUUGUUAAAAUCGUCUAAAUUUAAGGUUGAUACUAAAUGUGCCUGGAAAGUCAUUUCGAAGUGAGAACUCAUCUAAUUGAUCUGAACAUUACCAAUGUCUAGUACUGCUGGCCUUGUGAUACCCUGCAAAGCUGCUGUAGCAUGGGAAGCCGGGAAGCCGUUGGUGAUAGAGCAAGUAGAGGUUGCUCCACCACAGACCUUGGAAGUCAGAGUUAAGAUCAAUUACACUACACUUUGCCGCGCGUACUGACUUUUACUUUUGGAAGCUAAGAGUAGUACUGCUACACAAUUGUUUCCUUGCAUUUUCGGCCAUGAAGCAGCCGGCGUGGAGUAGACAUUGUCUCGAUUUUUGUUGGACCAGUCUCCUACUUGUUGUUGUCCAAGCCUGCUAAGGACAAGCUUGUGGUCUCCACUUCCUGCUCACUUCUUCACACUGUUGUUGAUCUUGUUAACGAGACUAAGCUUGAUGAUGAAAUCAACUCAUGGCUUGCAUUUGCUGCACAAAAAGUUGUUGAAUUUAACGAUUUGGCCAAGGCAUUGUCUGGUCAGAAGGAUAAGGCCUUCUUCUCUGCCAAUGCUACUGCUCUUUUAUCAAGGAAUUCUUCCCCAAGAGUGAACACUGAAAAUGUCCAAAAGCUUGUAAGCAGUUCUCCAGCAUCUGUUGUAUGGUGGGAAGCUAAGCAUAUUCCAAAAGUUAAGAUAGCCAAGCUUGAUAUCAAAGUGAAGGACUAGAGUGUUUACAUGCCCGAUAUUCCUGGUAUCAAGGAGUGCCCUCCACAUCUUGUUCCAUAGAGGCCAUGGGUAGAUAAGUUCAUUGCUGAUUUUUCGAAGUUGAGGCUAGCUCAGCUCUAUCAAGCCUUCAGAAUAUCAGUGAUGUUGUUUCUGCCGACUCAGAAUCAAUUAUUUUUGCUCACCAUAAACUCAAGAGUAACACGUCUCCUAAUUUAGCGUCACUUAAGAUGACAUUAGGAGCUAUAACAUUAUCUGCAGUCUUAGCAAUGGACCCUAUAACUAGAGUCACAAUGCUGAGAAGACACAUAAGUUUGUUUGAGAGUGCAAGUGAUUUGUCAAAGGAAGAUUGUGCAUGGCUCUUUGCUCAGUGUGCAAGUGAUUUGUCUAAGAUUCACUCUCUAUAACUAUAAAUUUUCAUGUUUUAUUAAGGAAUAUUAUUUAUGUAGUAGCUUUUGACUCAUGUUAGGGAGUUGUUGUAAAGACAAUUUGGACAUUUAUUAAAGUUGUA